rnacentral:rRNA from 1 species
AUGCUAAGGCCCAAAUCGGCUGGGGGUAUCGGAUUCAAGGACUUCAGACUCUUCAACCAAGCAAUGUUAGCUCGGCAAGCAUGGCGUAUUUUGGUCAACCCGGAAUGUCUUUGUACGCGCGUCUUGAAGGCAAGGUAUUUCCCUAAUGGACGAUUAGAAGAUACUGUUUUCACUAGCAACGCGUCGCAAACUUGGCAGGCCAUUGUGCAUGGGUUGGAAUUGCUGAAGAAAUGCUUAGUCUGGCGCAUCGGUAACGGGCAGUCGGUCCGAAUUUGGCGGGACUCCUGGAUACCACACCCUGUUGGUCGGCCACCAAUUACCCAACAGGGAAGGUGCUGUCUCCGCCGAGUCUCAGAGCUACUAGACGAGCAUGGUGCAUGGCGCGGAACCCUACUUCAAUAGUACUUUUUGCCCAUUGAUGUUCAAGAGAUACUAAAGAUUAAAGCGUCCCCUCGGCUGGGGGCAGAUUUCCUUGCAUGGGGUGCAGAACGUACUGGUAUCUUCACCGUACGUAGUGCGUACCGGCUGGCGCUUGAGGACAAGCUUUGUCCCUCUUCAGUCGCAGCGAGCAGGGCACCGGACAGGCGACGUGCCAUCUGGGCAUUAUUAUGGAGGUGCCCUGCUCCUCCUAAGGUGCGUGUGUUUGCAUGGCGUUUGGCUACUAACUCCCUUGCCACAUGGUCUAAUAAAUUUAGUCGACACAUGGAGGUUACUGAUAUAUGCCCAUUAUGUGUGCCACGAAUAGUCCACAAAUGGAGUCCCCCACCCGCCAACUGGACGAAGCUGAAUGUCGAUGGCUCCUUUUCCCAUGAUGACGGGAGGGCCGGGACGGGAAUGGUGCUCCGUGACCAGGAAGGGGCCAUUAUUUUCUCUGUGUGUCGCUCGCUAUGGUCUUGCCCGGACCCUCUACAUGCUGAGCUGGCUGGGUGCAUGGAGGGCAUAGCUUUGGCCCUCCAAUGGACGGAGUUGCCGUCUAUCGCCGAGUGCGAUAGUCUGCAGGCAAUCCAACUGAUAAAUGCCUCAGGACAAGACCACUCGCAGUAUGCCAUGGUGGUCUCCGAAGUGAAGCAUCUUAUGAGUGAAAGGGAGUGUCAUGUUAUUCAUAUUUCUCGAGAGCAGAAUAAUGUAAGCCAUGCGUUGGCGAACUUUGGAAGGACGGAGGACCGUACCGUGGUCUGGCUCCGCUCCGGCCCGGACAAUAUCCCUAGCUUGUGUAGGGAGGACCUUCUUGGCUCUUGA